GGUUCCAUAGUGUAGCAGUUAGCACGUCUCCUUUACAUGCAGAAGGUCCUGGGUUCAUGCCCCAGUGGAGCCA
rfam:Pteropus alecto contig73877, whole genome shotgun sequence.